rnacentral:rRNA from 1 species
AUUGAACGCUGGCGGCAUGCCUUACACAUGCAAGUCGAACGGCAGCACGGGAGCAAUCCUGGUGGCGAGUGGCGAACGGGUGAGUAAAGUAUCGGAACGUGCCCAGUCGUGGGGGAUAACGUAGCGAAAGUUACGCUAAUACCGCAUACGAUCUAUGGAUGAAAGCGGGGGAUCGCAAGACCUCGCGCGAUUGGAGCGGCCGAUAUCAGAUUAGGUAGUUGGUGGGGUAAAGGCUCACCAAGCCGACGAUCUGUAGCUGGUCUGAGAGGACGACCAGCGAAACUGGGACUGAGACACGGCCCAGACUCCUACGGGAGGCAGCAGUGGGGAAUUUUGGACAAUGGGCGAAAGCCUGAUCCAGCCAUGCCGCGUGCAGGAUGAAGGCCUUCGGGUUGUAAUCUGCUUUUGUACGGAACGAAAAGGUUUGGCCUAAUAAGCUGAGCUCAUGACGGUACCGUAAGAAUAAGCACCGGCUAACUACGUGCCAGCCGCCGCCGUAA